UUGAAACAAAUAAACAGGCCAGGGUUCAUCUUUCUUUCACUUAAUAUACAACGAAUAACGAUUGAUUAUAAACUUUGUCUUCUUGUUACCAUUGACUCUCUCUUCCUCUCUGAGAAGCUGCAACCGAAUGUUGGAUAACGAAAAGUCACGGGUCGUAUCAGAUUCUACCAUUACUAGCAUGUUUGGAGAUCGUCCUCCUUACCUAUUCCAUGAAGAUUCAAAACCUAUCUCAACUCAAGACUUCCUUGUCUGGUUCUGACGUAUACAAAUCCCGUACUUUCUCCUCCGGCAAAUACAACUGGAGAUUGGUUAUAUAUCCAAAAGGGAACAAGAAGGACAACGGGGCAGGAUUUAAUUUCACUGUAUGUGGAAAUAGAUAACAAAACACUACAGUCCACGGUUUUGACAUACCUCACCUUCUUCGUCCACAAUAAGAAAGAAAAUAAAUAUUUUACUUUUCAAGGUGAUUGAUUACAUCCCGGAUCUCGUAUAUACUAUAGCACAAGUCACUUGCCCAAUAAUAUUUUGACACAUAGAUAAUAUUUAUUAUUUUUCAAAAACAACAAUUACUAAAACAGUUGAAACAAAUCAGUUUCAGAACCUAAAAGCAAGAAAGAAAAUAAUUAUUUUAAGCGCCUCAUAUAUUACACCCACGAUUUCCUGCUUAUUAUGUAUUGCAUUGGUCAGUGGUGUAGACGGAUUCAUAUAAUUAAUAGUUAUUUAACAAGCGGGCAAGUGUUUUAACUCUCAACAUUUAGUUAUAUCAGUUUUACAGUUUUAACUUCUUCUUUUUUUGUAGAAGAACCGUGCUUCACGUGAUAAGUUAUGCAAUUGGUAUGUUAUAAUUUCCAAGUAACUCUUAUGAUAAGCAAUUUUCUGGUCACUUUUAUUCAGAAAACAUACUAAGAAAGAUUAUAGAUGGACAUGAAUCUCGAAUAAUGAAAACUAAUAUCUGUAAAUAUGUAAUUUUAGUUUGCGUGAGUAUUUUAUCUAACUUCAGUUUGUUAAUUCGAAUCAUGUCUUUAAUAUCUUUAAAAAAUAUUAAGUACAUAAGAGAUUUACUCCGUGCGUAGCACGGGAGAUACACUAGUAUUUAUAUAAAUUUGUAAGUUUAUUGAUGGAUUAUCUAUGUAACAUCCAUAUGUUGAAGGGAAGCCGUUCAAUGCAUUAAGACCAGUGCAUGGGUUUUCACAAGUACUUCCCCUUGAUACAUUCAAUGAUUAUAAAGACGGUUAUGCUUUUGAUGGAAAUCAAUGGGAGUUUAGUGUUGAUGUGAUGGUUCCACUUACCAAUUGGGAAGUCGUCUCCUUUACUCAGAAACCCUUCAAACCAGAGUUCUGUUGGACGGUCAACAAAUUCUCUAAGUUGAAAGAGCAUCGCUACGUAUCAGACAAGUUCUUAAUGGGAGGAAAGAAAUGGGCCAUGUCGUUGUAUCCCAAAGGCGUGAUUACAUCAGAUGGCAAAUCGAUAUCCAUCUAUUUGAAGUUAAGCCGGAUAAAGAUACAUUGAAGGCAGGUGAGCAGAUCUACACCAAAGCGGAUGUGCGAAUUCUGACCCAUUUGGAAUCACUUGACAAGGAAGUUUAACCAGUGGCAGGAGAGAUCACACUUACUCCAAGGUUUGGGUUGGGUUGGAUUUGUGCCUUUGGCUGAACUUGAAAAGGCUUACUUGGACAAAGAUGGCUCACUGAAAUUGGAGAUCGAAAUUGCAGUUGUUUCUGCCACCACAUACACACCAUUUAGCUCUUUCAUUAAAUCAGUUUUUACAUAUUUUUUAAUUCAGAUUCUCAUCUUGAUUGUUUAGAAUUGUUUUUUUUUCAAACACAAAUUCAUUAAUUCAAAUCUAAGAGUUUUCAACGA